AGGAAAGAAAGAAGGAGAGAAGGAAAGAAGGAAGGAAGAGUCCUAUUACAAACAUGUUGUAGUCAAGCAAAAAAUGCCUUUAUUGGCCAACAAGAUUAUAUCUUAGUCUGUGCUGAGUACUUUUCCUUUGUGAGAGGAGGUAAAUACAUGUUUGAUCAUGAAUCUUCUUCUUUUGCAAGAUCUUCAACUUUAUACUACUUAAAAAUGUAGGCUAAGUCGGACUAAUCAGUCUAAUCUAGUCCUAUAAAUACUCUAUACGGCAUCUUUAUUCCAUUAGUGCCAAUUAACCAAGGUUCUGCUCAGAAGCUAAACAACAAAUAAAAUUAAAGAGACCAUCAUUAUAUUUUUAUGCUUGCUUUAGCAGAUUGAGCGAAAUAAUGCCCUUCCUAUUAGUCCCCAGCAUAGAAUACUUGUUCCCUGAGUACUAGCCAGUUCACAACCAUUGGGAAGCAGUACAUAAUAUACAGUUUGGUAGCUGGGCCUAAGUGGUAGAUAUCGAAGAGGUCCUAUGGGAAGAUCUGAGGAAAAAUUGGAUCAAGAAGGAAGAAAAAAAAACUGGGAAAGAAAACAAAAUGCAAGCAAACAACAACAGAAAGAGUGAGAAUGCUAUGUUGUGUUCCACACUUUGUUCCCAUGGUUCUUUCUCUGGAUGUAGAUGGCUCUCUUCAUCACCAAACAAUUGGAACUGGUUUGAAUCAUCUCAAUAGUGAAGAAAGCCACGUCCAUCAGAAUUGAUCCUCAUACAGUAUUGUUGUUGAAGUGUAUAAUGAUCUCCUGGUCCUGCUCAUUUCACUCAGCAUCAGUUCAUGUAGUUAGCUAAAGCCAACUGGAUUGCAGUCUGUAACCAAUAUGAAAAACAUAUUAUAUGACCAUGAAUGUAUGAAAGAAUCUUUACUGAAACUUGCGGUCCUCCUUGGAAAAAACAGCCUACUGGCACUGCCAAACUUCUUCCCAUCCAGAAGUCUUGGUUUUGGAUUAAUGGAGAUGGAGAGGCAGCAUCAUAAAAUGGAAACCACAUUGGAUUUGGAGUCAGAAGAUUUUGGUUCUAUCCUGUUUUAUACUCACUGUCAAAACAAGCACUGUGUCAAGCACUGGAGAUACAAGAAAGCACAAGAGACAGUCCCUACCCUCAAAGAACUCACACUCUAAUGAAGGAGACAACAGAAAACAAUUCUAGACAAUCAAAAUAUAUACAAGACAGAUGGCAUUUUCAAAAAAUGGUAAUGUGGAAAAGGCUGUGGAAAGCAAAUUCAUAUUUUUGCAUGUUUCAUUUCAUUGUUAUAUUGCUGCAAUUUAUAGCAAGUGACUAUACAGUGAAUGCUGUAACUAGGUUCAAACUAAACAUAGAUCAACUCUUAAAGGAAAGCAUUAUCUGUGCUCAGUAUUGGCAGCCAUUGGCUUUGCACUGGUCACCUUUUUAUUUCUGCACCUGACUCUUUUCUAAAAUGUAUCAGAUGAUGACACCUGGCCUUUAAAAAAUGCAAAUAAAAUACAAAGGUGUUAGAUGCCCAGGUUUUAACUCAAAAUGUUGAGGAAAGAAGGACUCAAGAGUAUAAAAGCAUGGUACAAAACUUACAGGCUCAACUAACUGCCUAAGAGCAAACAUUUUGGUAAAAUAAUUUCAUUGU